UGGACCCAGUUCCCAAUAGUGUCU
rnacentral:siRNA from 1 species